AACGGGUGCCGGCUAACAGGUCAAUACCCAACUCCGUCAGGUCCGGAAGGAAGCAGCGGUAAGUAUCUGACUUGUGUAGCUUGGUGCCCUUUUAA
rfam:Ignavibacterium album JCM 16511, complete genome.